rnacentral:rRNA from 1 species
UGAGGAAUAUUGGACAAUGGGGGCAACCCUGAUCCAGCCAUGCCGCGUGAGUGAUGAAGGCCUUCGGGUUGUAAAGCUCUUUUAGUCGUGACGAUGAUGACGGUAGCGACAGAAAAAGCCCCGGCUAAAUUCGUGCCAGCAGCCGCGGUAAUACGAAUGGGGCAAGCGUUGUUCGGAAUCACUGGGCUUAAAGCGUACGCAGGCGGCCAAGCAAGUCAGGAGUGAAAUCCCCGGGCUUAACCCGGGAAUUGCUUUUGAAACUGCAUGGCUAGAAUCCGGGAGAGGUUGGCGGAAUUCCGAGUGUAGCAGUGAAAUGCGCAGAUAUUCGGAGGAACACCAGUGGCGAAGGCGGCCAACUGGACCGGCAUUGACGCUCAUGUACGAAAGCGUGGGUAGCAAACAGG